AUCCUUGAAAGAGUGCGUAAUAGCUCACUGGUCAAGUGAUUCCGCGCCGACAAUGUAGCGGGGCUCAAGUACACCGCCGAAGUCGUGUCAUUGCAGCAUGAGGGCUAACGCCCGCUGUGAUGGGUAGGGGAGCGUCGUGUGCCGGGUGAAGCAGCCGCGGAAGCGAGUUGUGGAUGGUUCACGAGUGAGAAUGCAGGCAUGAGUAGCGAUAC
rnacentral:ncRNA from 1 species